AUACUUACCUGGACGGGGUCAAUGGGCGAUCAAGAAAGGCUCAUGGCCUAGAUCAAUGCCUCACAUUGCACUUUGUGGGUGGGUUGGUUUACCAUCUCCCCAAGCGGGAGAGUGGACGUCAUAAUUUGUGGCAGAGGGGGUACGCGUCCGCGCGGCCCCUA
rfam:Oryza sativa Japonica Group DNA, chromosome 6, cultivar: Nipponbare, complete sequence.